UACGUAGGGAGCGAGCGUUAUCCGGAUUUAUUGGGUGUAAAGCGUGUGUAGGCGGUAAAUUAAGUCUAAGGUUUAAGCCUGGAGCUCAACUCCAGUUCGCCUUAGAAACUGAUUUUCUUGAGUAUGGUAGAGGCAAGUGGAAUUUCUAGUGUAGCGGUAAAAUGCGUAGAUAUUAGAAGGAACACCAGUGGCGAAGGCGACUUGCUGGGCCAAAACUGACGCUGAGACACGAAAGCGUGGGGAGCAAA
rnacentral:rRNA from 1 species